rnacentral:sRNA from 1 species
UAAAGAAAAGGCAAGUGACUUGCCUAGAGUUAUACAGCUAAGGGCAGGGGCAAGACUUAAAACCCAGCAGUCUGACUCCCAAUCCACUGCUUUUCCACUCACAUUGUUCCUGUCUUUCUCCUAGUUGUGGGGUCCCCCCCGGGGAUUUCGUCUUGAGCAGAUCCUGCAGCUCGGUAGGCUCUUAAUAGGUCUAGGAGAUCGGGAACUACAGGAGCUGAUCCUAGUGGACUGGGGAGUGCUGAGCACCCUGGGGCAGAUAGAUGGCUGGAGCUCCACUCAGCUCCGCAUUGUGGUCUCCAGUUUCCUACGGCAGAGUGGUCGGCAUGUGAGCCACCUGGACUUCAUUCAUCUGACAGCGCUGGGUUAUACUCUCUGUGGACUGCGGCCAGAGGAGCUCCAACACAUCAGCAGUUGGGAGUUUAGCCAAGCAGCUCUCUUCCUGGGCACCCUGCAUCUCCAGUGCUCUGAGGAACAACUGGAGGUUCUGGCCCACCUCCUUGUACUGCCUGGUGGGUUUGGCCCAGUCAGUAACUGGGGGCCUGA